rnacentral:rRNA from 1 species
CCUACGGGAGGCUGCAGUGGGGAAUAUUGGACAAUGGGGGCAACCCUGAUCCAGCCAUGCCGCGUGUGUGAAGAAGGCCCUCGGGUUGUAAAGCACUUUCAGUGAGGAAGAACGCCUGGUGGUUAAUACCCAUCAGGAAAGACAUCACUCACAGAAGAAGCACCGGCUAACUCCGUGCCAGCUGCCGCGGUAAUACGGAGGGUGCGAGCGUUAAUCGGAAUUACUGGGCGUAAAGCGCGCGUAGGUGGCUUGAUAAGCCGGUUGUGAAAGCCCCGGGCUCAACCUGGGAACGGCAUCCGGAACUGUCAAGCUAGAGUGCAGGAGAGGAAGGUAGAAUUCCCGGUGUAGCGGUGAAAUGCGUAGAGAUCGGGAGGAAUACCAGUGGCGAAGGCGGCCUUCUGGACUGACACUGACACUGAGGUGCGAAAGCGUGGGUAGCAAACAGGAUUAGAUACCCGUGUAGUC